AUGCGCAUGAAUGUUCCACUGGCAGAACUAGCUGCAGCUUUUCCAUGUUGAAAAAGGAAAGGUGCACCCUGCCCAUCUGGGGUGUUGGGUUGCCACUUAUGCUGUGCAACAUGUGCCGCUGGUGCAUUUAUAUCAGCGAUUAUAACGGUAUCCAAAUGUGCAUGAAUGGCAGCAGCAGGUAGAUUGCAGCGCUCAGGGCCUGGAACAGCAUAUGGUUUGACUUCUUUUGGGUUUCGAAAUAUAGUCUGCAAAUGGAGAACAUCAGCUAAUGGCUUCUUCUUCAAGUGAGGAACAGUCAGAAGUUGGGAUGGGGUCUGUCCAAAGUAUGCAAUCUGGUCUUGUGUAGCUCGUUGUUGUACUGGAUCUGAGAUCUUAUCUAUAUCUACUGUCCCUUCAUAGGUAAUGUAAAAGAAAACAUUAUUUGCCAGUAUAGCUUCUUUACCACGUUGCUUAUACCCAAAUAUGAGAUCAAUCCAUUCAUGCAAAUGCUCAGAUACAUGCUCACUCUCAAGAGCCAUCCGAUGCUUAUGGAUGAAAUCAACUGGGUUUUCAGCCCAAGGAGGAAGUUUGACAGAAUUAAGCUUUUCUCCUAAUUGCGUCAUGCCAAAGUCAACUGAAUUUUCAUUGGUUAAGAUCUCAGGGAGAUAAAACAACUCAGGAACCAGUUCCUUCACAUCACUCAUGUCCUCAAGAACUCCAUUCCAAGUAGCAGAAAUAUCUGAAAACAUCCGGUCUGCAUGAUCAAAUUUUCCACCUUGCAGUUUUAUUGAAAGAGUUGUAUAUGGUUCUACUCUAACAAGAUAAUAUAAUACUGUCCCAGCACUUGAGUAAUGAGAACCAUAAUGGAACUUCGGGAUGACAGGAUCAUCGAAGCUAGAAUACCUCUCCUGAAAUUUUUUUAGCCGAUCAAGAUUCAAUGCACCAACAGGCUUUGAAAGAUCUCGAUAUGAAGAAGGAUCAGAAAGAUCCAAACU
rnacentral:misc_RNA from 1 species